CAAUAGCGUAUAUUAAAGUUGUUGCAGUUAAAAGGCUCGUAGUUGGAUUUCUGGUGGGAGCGAUCGGUCUGGCGCAUAGCGCGAGUACUUGCAUCGUCUCCGGCCAUCCUUGGGGAGAGUCUGUCUGGCAUUAGGUUGUCGGGCAGAGGAUCCUCAUCGUUUACUGUGAAAAAAUUAGAGUGUUCAAAGCAGGCUUAUGCCGUUGAAUAUAUUAGCAUGGAAUAAUAAGAUAGGACUUUGGUACUAUUUUGUUGGUUUGCGCACCAAAGUAAUGAUUAAUAGGGACAGUUGGGGGUAUUCGUAUUCCGUUGUCAGAGGUGAAAUUCUUGGAUUUACGGAAGACGAACUACUGCGAAAGCAUUUACCAAGGAUGUUUUCAUUAA
rnacentral:rRNA from 1 species